ACUAAUCUUGUCAUAUUGGACUCCAAAUACCCUACACAAGCUUAUUAUGCCUUCCCCAAGUUUUGUAAGUGAAGACGAAGUCCCUAUCAGUUUUUUUGUUUUGUAUCUACUCUACUUUAGCAGCCAGGAUCCGGGUUGCAUUUCACUUUCUUAUACUCAGUCAUACACACCAAUCUUGUCAUAUUGGACUCCAAAAACCAUACACAAGCUUAUUAUGGCUUUCCCAAGUUUUGUAAGUGAGGACGAAGUCCCUAUGAGUUUUUUUUUGUUUUAUAUCUACUCUACUUUAGCAGCCAGGAUCCGGGUUGCAUUUCACUUUCUUAUACACAGUCAUACACACCAAUCUUGUCAUAUUGGACUCCAAAAACCAUACACAAGCUUAUUAUGGCUUUCCCAAGUUUUGUAAGUGAGGAUGAAGUCCCUAUGAGUUUUUUUGUUUUAUAUCUACUCUACUUUAGCAGCCAGGAUCCGGGUUGCAUUUCACUUUCUUAUACUAUGUCAUACACACCAAUCUUGUCAUAUUGGACUCCAAAAACCAUACACAAGCUUAUUAUGGCUUUCCCAAGUUUUGUAAGUGAGGACGAAGUCCCUAUGAGUUUUUUUUGUUUUAUAUCUACUCUACUUUAGCAGCCAGGAUCUGGGUCUCAUUUGACUUUCUUAUACUCAGUCAUACACCCAAUCUUGUCAUAUUGGACUCCAAAAACCAUACACAAGCUUAUUAUGGCUUUCCCAAGUUUUGUAAGUGAGGACGAAGUCCCUAUUAGUUUUUUUGUUUUGUAUCUACUCUACUUUAGCAGCCAAGAUCCGGGUUGCAUUUCACUUUCUUAUACUCAGUCAUAAACACCAAUCUUGUCAUAUUGGACUCCAAAAACCAUACACAAGCUUAUUAUGGCUUUCCCAAGUUUUGUAAGUGAGGACGAAGUCCCUAUGAUAUUUUUUGUUUUCUAUCUACUCUACUUUAGCAGCCAGGAUCUGGGUUGCAUUUCACUUUCUUAUACUCAGUCAUACACACCAAUCUUGUCAUAUUGAACUCCAAAAACCAUACACAAGCUUAAUAUGGCUUUCCCAAGUUUUGUAAGUGAGGACGAAGUCCCUAUGAGUUUUUUUGUUUUAUAUCUACUCUACUUUAGAAGCCAGGAUCCGGGUUGCAUUUCACUUUCUUAUACUCAGUCAUACACACCAAUCUUGUCAUAUGGGACUCCAAAAACCAUACACAAGCUUAUUAUGGCUUUCCCAAGUUUUGUAAGUGAGGACGAAGUCCCUAUGAGUUUUUUUUGUUUUAUAUCUACU
rnacentral:lncRNA from 1 species